AAACUCUGACCCUUGAAAACCCAUCACUCCCUCCUCUUUCUCUUCUCUAACACCUCUUCUCUUUCACUGUUCAAGACAAGAGGAAAAUACAUUGCUUAGACGAGGGAGAAAAGAAAAAUACAUUGCUUGGAACCUUCUUCUCUUUACUUACCAUUUCUGCUUCUGUUUCUUGUUGAUGGAAAAUAUCUAUUGUUUCCGGCACAAGUAUACCCAUCUGUUAUUGUUUCUACUUCUAGCUUUUGCCUCUCAAUUUGCUUCAUGCCAGAUGUGGGAUGGGAUAAUCGUAACACAAGCGGAUUAUCGGGCUCUUCGAGCCAUAAAGAAUGAUCUAAUUGACUUCAAAGGGUUUUUGCGCAGCUGGAAUGAUAGUGGCUAUGGAGUUUGUUCUGGUGGGUGGGCAGGAAUCAAAUGUGUUAAGGGUCAGGUUAUUGCCAUCCAGCUUCCUUGGAGAGGACUUGGUGGCAAAAUAUCUGAGAAGAUUGGCCAGCUUCAUGCGCUUCGAAGGAUUAGCAUGCACGACAAUGUUCUUGUUGGAAAUGUCCCGUGGUCUCUUGGGUCCCUCGCCAAUCUUAGAGGGGUUUACCUGUUCAACAACCGCCUUUCGGGUUCUAUCCCUCCUUCAAUUGGUAACUCUCCUAUGCUUCAGACUCUUGACAUAAGUAACAAUUCACUUACUGGUAUAGUUCCUCCUAGUCUGGCUAAUUCUACUAGGUUAUAUAGGCUUAAUUUGAGCUUUAAUUCCUUAACGGGUUCCAUUCCAUUUACUCUCACUCGUUCUCCUUCUCUCACUAUCCUUGCUCUACAACACAACAAUCUCUCUGGUUCCAUCCCAGAUUCUUGGGGCCAAACAGGGAAGAAAUCUUACCAACUUCAGUUCUUGACCCUUGAUCAUAAUCUCAUCUCUGGAAAGAUUCCAAUGACUCUUAGUAAUUUGGCUUUGCUUCAAGAGAUUUCUCUGAGUUAUAAUCAGAUUUCUGGAAGCAUACCUAAUGAACUAGGGAGGCUUUCAGGGCUACAAAAGAUUGAUUUUUCAUAUAAUGCUAUCAAUGGAAAACUUCCACCUAGCUUUUCCAACCUCUCCUCUCUAGUCUCAUUGAGUCUCGAGAGCAAUCAACUUGACAACCAGAUCCCAGAAGGUGUAGACAGAUUACAGAACCUCUCCGUGCUCAACCUGAAAAAUAAUAAAUUCGAAGGCCCUAUCCCACCAACUAUUGGGAACAUUUCCGGUCUCAAUCAACUUGAUUUGUCACAAAACAAUUUUACUGGCGAAAUUCCAGCUUCACUUACUGGCCUAUCCAACCUCACUUCUUUUAAUGUUUCUUAUAACAAUCUCUCUGGUGCCGUGCCCUCUCUGCUCUCAAAAAAUUUCAAUUCAAGCUCUUUUGUGGGGAAUCUUCAGCUUUGUGGCUACAGCACGGCAACUUCAUGCCCCUCACCACCACCGGUCAUUCUUCCAUCCCCGACGACAGGGCCACCUAAACAUCAUCACCACCGAAAACUUAGCACCAGGGACAUUGCUCUCAUCGCAGCUGGUGCGCUCUUAGCUUUUCUACUUCUACUCUGCUGCAUUCUGCUCUGUUGUUUGAUGAGGAAAAGGGCUGCUCUGAAACAAAAGAAUGGUAAAACUGCUACGCGAGCAGCUGUAGGGAAAACUGAGAAGACAGGAGCAGCAGCCGGCACAGAAGUUGAAUCAGGUGGUGAAAUGGGUGGAAAGCUAGUCCACUUUGAUGGGCCAUUUGUGUUUACAGCUGAUGAUUUGUUGUGUGCAACUGCGGAGAUAAUGGGAAAAAGCACUUACGGAACAGCAUACAAGGCAACACUAGAAGAUGGCAAUCAAGUUGCUGUGAAAAGAUUGAGAGAGAAGACUACAAAGGGGCAGCGGGAGUUUGAAACUGAGGCUGCUGCACUUGGAAAGAUUCGCCAUGCAAAUCUCUUAGCACUAAGGGCCUAUUACUUGGGACCCAAGGGAGAGAAGCUUCUAGUUUUCGACUACAUGCCUAAAGGGAGUCUUGCAUCCUUCCUCCAUGGUAAGUACAUUAAACCAAUUCUUAAAAUUAUCUGCAGCAUAUAUAGGUUGCUAGUAUUCCUCCCGUAAUCUCGGAAAUGAUUUGUUAAAAUAAGGAUGAGAUGAUAUUUUAGAAGCAGAAAAGUGAAAUCUCAUGCUAACCACCAAAUCAACUAUUUGGUUGAUGUAAUCUUUUGUAAUGCAGCUCGCGGGCCAGAGACCAUCAUCAGCUGGCCAACAAGGAUGACCAUGGCCAUUGGCAUUGCACGUGGACUGAACAACCUCCAUACCCAGGAAAAUAUAAUCCAUGGGAAUCUCACAUCAAGCAGCAUACUACUCGAUGAGCAAACCAACGCUCACAUUGCAGACUUUGGCCUCAGCAGGCUCAUGACUACAGCUGCCAAUACCAAUGUGAUUGCUACUGCUGGAUCACUUGGCUAUCGUGCACCAGAACUCUCAAAGCUCAAGGAUGCCAACACAAAGACUGAUGUGUACAGCCUUGGGGUGAUCAUUCUGGAGCUCUUGACAGGAAAAUCUCCUGGUGAACCAGCAAAUGGCAUGGAUUUACCGCAGUGGGUGGCAUCCAUAGUGAAGGAGGAGUGGACGAAUGAAGUCUUUGAUUUGGAGCUUAUGAGGGAUGCACCCACCAUAGGUGAUGAGUUGCUCAACACAUUGAAAUUAGCUCUGCAUUGCGUGGAUCCCUCACCAGCAGCUCGUCCUGAAGUUCAACAAGUUCUUCAGCAGUUAGAGGAAAUCAAGCCAGAUCUGGCUGCCAGUUCUGUUGAUGAUGAUGGAGCCAAAGUCCCACCACCAACCAGUGAAUAGAGUUUUGUUAUUAUUAGUAUCAUAAUUUUGGGACUGCAGGAAUAAAGAGUUAUUAUAAUCAACUGGGGGGGAUCUGUUUACAAGGUCUAUAGGAGAGAGUAGACAUUCUUUAAUUACUUCUUUUUUUUACAAUUCUUUAAUUACUAUUAUUUGUUAGCGCAUGUAUAUAAGUUACUGUGGUUCAUUUAGCGUAUUCUUUUUGUCAGGAACAAUAAUGUAUUCAUUCAAUUCAUGCUUUAUAAAAGAGCUAAAGAAAUUAAUCGCAGAUAUUAAAGAAAUUGGCAUGUUCCCAUGACUGUAGGGUUUGGGGUUU
rnacentral:misc_RNA from 1 species